rnacentral:rRNA from 1 species
AACGAACGCUGGCGGCAUGCCUAACACAUGCAAGUCGAACGAGACCUUCGGGUCUAGUGGCGCACGGGUGCGUAACGCGUGGGAACCUGCCCUUAGGUCCGGAAUAACUCCCCGAAAGGGGUGCUAAUACCGGAUAAUGUCUUCGGACCAAAGAUUUAUCGCCUUUGGAUGGGCCCGCGUUGGAUUAGCUAGUUGGUAGGGUAAAAGCCUACCAAGGCGACGAUCCAUAGCUGGUCUGAGAGGAUGAUCAGCCACACUGGGACUGAGACACGGCCCAGACUCCUACGGGAGGCAGCAGUGGGGAAUAUUGGACAAUGGGCGAAAGCCUGAUCCAGCAAUGCCGCGUGAGUGAUGAAGGCCUUAGGGUUGUAAAGCUCUUUUACCCGGGAUGUUAAUGACAGUACCGGGAGAAUAAGCUCCGGCUAACUCCGUG